UGCAGCAGGCGCGAAACCUCCGCAAUGUGAGAAAUCGCGACGGGGGGAUCCCAAGUGCCAUUCUUAACGGGAGUUGGCUUUUCGUUAGUGUAAAGAGCUUUUGGAAUAAGAGCUGGGCAAGACCGGUGCCAGCCGCCGCGGUAACACCGGCAGCUCUAGUGGUAGCAGUUUUUAUUGGGCCUAAAGCGUCCGUAGCCGGUUUAAUAAGUCUCUGGUGAAAUCCUGCAGCUUAACUGUGGGAAUUGCUGGAGAUACUAUUAGACUUGAGAUCGGGAGAGGUUAGAGGUACUCCCAGGGUAGAGGUGAAAUUCUGUAAUCCUGGGAGGACCGCCUGUUGCGAAGGCGUCUGACUGGAACGAUUCUGACGGUGAGGGACGAAAGCUAGGGGCGCGAACCGGAUUAGAUACCCGGGUAGUCCUAGCUGUAAACGAUGCGGACUUGGUGUUGGGGGUGCCUUUAAGCUGUUCAGUGCCGAAAGGAAGCUGUUAACUCAGCCGCCUGGAAGUACAGUAGCAAGGACUGAGACUUACCCGAACUGGCGGGUGAUCACCACA
rnacentral:rRNA from 1 species